ensembl:ncRNA
UGUACAAUACGAAUAUUUAGGC